rnacentral:rRNA from 1 species
GAUGAACGCUAGCGGCAGGCUUAAUACAUGCAAGUCGAACGGUAAGUUUGGUAGCAAUACUGAACCAAGAGUGACGUACGGGUGCGUAACACGUAUGCAACCUACCCAAAACAGGAGGAUAGCUCGGGGAAACUCGAAUUAACCCUCCAUAAGAUCAUAGAGUAGCAUUACUUAGUGAUUAAAGCUCCGGUGGUUUUGGAUGGGCAUGCGUCUGAUUAGUUAGUUGGCGGGGUAAUGGCCCACCAAGACGAUGAUCAGUAGGGGAACUGAGAGGUUGAUCGCCCACACUGGCACUGAGAUACGGGCCAGACUCCUACGGGAGGCAGCAGUAGGGAAUAUUGGUCAAUGGAUGCAAGUCUGAACCAGCCAUGCCGCGUGCAGGAAGAAGGCGUUAUGCGUUGUAAACUGCUUUUGCCAGGGGAUAAAAUAACCUUGCGAGGUUAAUUGAAGGUACCUGGUGAAUAAGCCACGGCUAACUACGUGCCAGCCGCCGCCGUAACAC